rnacentral:rRNA from 1 species
CAGUAGCCGCGGGAAUACAGAGGGUGCGAGCGUUAAUCGGAUUUACUGGGCGUAAAGCGUGCGUAGGCGGCUUUUUAAGUCGGAUGUGAAAUCCCUGAGCUUAACUUAGGAAUUGCAUUCGAUACUGGGAAGCUAGAGUAUGGGAGAGGAUGGUAGAAUUCCAGGUGUAGCGGUGAAAUGCGUAGAGAUCUGGAGGAAUACCGAUGGCGAAGGCAGCCAUCUGGCCUAAUACUGACGCUGAGGUACGAAAGCAUGGGGAGCAAACAGGAUUAGAUACCCGAGUAGUCCCUGUCUCUUAUAC